GGGGGGACGGAGAAGGCUAUGUUGGCCGGGCGACGGUUGUCCCGGUUUAAGCGUGUAGGUGUGUGUUCCAGGUAAAUCCGGUUCACUUUAACACUGAGGCGUGAUGACGAGGCACUACGGUGCUGAAGCAACAAAUGCCCUGCUUCCAGGAAAAGCCUCUAAGCAUCAGGUAACAUCAAAUCGUACCCCAAACCGACACAGGUGGUCAGGUAGAGAAUACCAAGGCGCUUGAGAGAACUCGGGUGAAGGAACUAGGCAAAAUGGUGCCGUAACUUCGGGAGAAGGCACGCUGACACGUAGGUGAAGUGAUUUACUCACGGAGCUGAAGUCAGUCGAAGAUACCAGCUGGCUGCAACUGUUUAUUAAAAACACAGCACUGUGCAAACACGAAAGUGGACGUAUACGGUGUGACGCCUGCCCGGUGCCGGAAGGUUAAUUGAUGGGGUCAGCGCAAGCGAAGCUCCUGAUCGAAGCCCCGGUAAACGGCGGCCGUAACUAUAACGGUCCUAAGGUAGCGAAAUUCCUUGUCGGGUAAGUUCCGACCUGCACGAAUGGCGUAAUGAUGGCCAGGCUGUCUCCACCCGAGACUCAGUGAAAUUGAACUCGCUGUGAAGAUGCAGUGUACCCGCGGCAAGACGGAAAGACCCCGUGAACCUUUACUAUAGCUUGACACUGAACAUUGAGCCUUGAUGUGUAGGAUAGGUGGGAGGCUUUGAAGUGUGGACGCCAGUCUGCAUGGAGCCGACCUUGAAAUACCACCCUUUAAUGUUUGAUGUUCUAACGUGGACCCGUAAUCCGGGUUGCGGACAGUGUCUGGUGGGUAGUUUGACUGGGGCGGUCUCCUCCUAAAGAGUAACGGAGGAGCACGAAGGUUGGCUAAUCCUGGUCGGACAUCAGGAGGUUAGUGCAAUGGCAUAAGCCAGCUUGACUGCGAGCGUGACGGCGCGAGCAGGUGCGAAAGCAGGUCAUAGUGAUCCGGUGGUUCUGAAUGGAAGGGCCAUCGCUCAACGGAUAAAAGGUACUCCGGGGAUAACAGGCUGAUACCGCCCAAGAGUUCAUAUCGACGGCGGUGUUUGGCACCUCGAUGUCGGCUCAUCACAUCCUGGGGCUGAAGUAGGUCCCAAGGGUAUGGCUGUUCGCCAUUUAAAGUGGUACGCGAGCUGGGUUUAGAACGUCGUGAGACAGUUCGGUCCCUAUCUGCCGUGGGCGCUGGAGAACUGAGGGGGGCUGCUCCUAGUACGAGAGGACCGGAGUGGACGCAUCACUGGUGUUCGGGUUGUCAUGCCAAUGGCACUGCCCGGUAGCUAAAUGCGGAAGAGAUAAGUGCUGAAAGCAUCUAAGCACGAAACUUGCCCCGA
rnacentral:rRNA from 1 species